UUGGAAGUAAAAAAGCGUAACAAGGUCUCCGUUGGUGAACCAGCGGAGGGAUCAUUACUGAGUUUACGCUCUACAACCCUUUGUGAACAUACCUAUAACUGUUGCUUCGGCGGGUAGGGUCUCCGCGACCCUCCCGGCCUCCCGCCUCCGGGCGGGUCGGCGCCCGCCGGAGGAUAACCAAACUCUGAUUUAACGACGUUUCUUCUGAGUGGUACAAGCAAAUAAUCAAAACUUUUAACAACGGAUCUCUUGGUUCUGGCAUCGAUGAAGAACGCAGCGAAAUGCGAUAAGUAAUGUGAAUUGCAGAAUUCAGUGAAUCAUCGAAUCUUUGAACGCACAUUGCGCCCGCCAGCAUUCUGGCGGGCAUGCCUGUUCGAGCGUCAUUUCAACCCUCAAGCUCUGCUUGGUGUUGGGGCCCUACAGCCGAUGUAGGCCCUCAAAGGUAGUGGCGGACCCUCCCGGAGCCUCCUUUGCGUAGUAACUUUACGUCUCGCACUGGGAUCCGGAGGGACUCUUGCCGUAAAACCCCCCAAUUUUCCAAAGGUUGACCUCGGAUCA
rnacentral:rRNA from 1 species